GACGAACGCUGGCGGCGUGCUUAACACAUGCAAGUCGAACGGAAAGGCCCUGCUUUUGUGGGGUGCUCGAGUGGCGAACGGGUGAGUAACACGUGAGUAACCUGCCCUUGACUUUGGGAUAACUUCAGGAAACUGGGGCUAAUACCGGAUAGGAGCUCCUGCUGCAUGGUGGGGGUUGGAAAGUUUCGGCGGUUGGGGAUGGACUCGCGGCUUAUCAGCUUGUUGGUGGGGUAGUGGCUUACCAAGGCUUUGACGGGUAGCCGGCCUGAGAGGGUGACCGGCCAAAUGGGGACGGAGAUACGGCCCAGACUCCUCGGGGGGGCAGCGGGGGGGAAUUUUGCAAAAGGGGGGGAGGCUGGAGGCAGCAACGCCGGGGGGGGGAGGACGGCCUUCGGGUGGAAAACCGCUUUCGCCUGUGACGAAGCGUGGGUGACGGUAAUGGGGAAAGAAGCCCCGGCUAACUACGU
rnacentral:rRNA from 1 species